GGAGCCCCUGUGGCGGCCCCUCCGAGACAAUGCGGUCCCCCGGGACCCGCGGUGGGUUGCGCCAGGCCAGUCCGCGCUCCAGCUGCCUCUUCAGAACAAGGCAGUGCAAAUGUGCCCACUUGAUUCUAAAUCCUCUUAGGCGCUGUCCAUGUGAACAAGGAAAGGGGUGGCCCUACGAUCCUUUACAAUCGGAGGCCUGGGGAGGCCUGGGAGCCCUGGAGCUCCGGAAAAUGUCUGCACCACGCAUGCAAAUGGGUCAUUUCGCUUGGAGAGAGGCAUCUGGCGACAUCGGCAGAAAGGCUCUCUGCCCGGUAGACGGUGAACAAAACCCACAAAACCAGCCAGCCAACAGCGUGCACUAAACACCCCUCUCUGGCCCUUCAAUGCCACCCGGAGUCCUGAAACAUUUUCAGGUUGUUUCCCCUGGAGAGACGUCCCAUGAAAUGUUCAGAAAAGCCAGCUGAGCUGUGCAAAGUCAUUAGUCACCCAGGUCAUUUAUGCCACACUCAGUUAUGAAGCCUAGGAAAGAAGAAAAAAGACCUACUAUGUGCUAGUUCAUGUGCUUGCAAUGUAUCCUCACAGAGACCCUCUGAGUGGGUUCUAUGGUUUUUCCCCUUUUAUAGGCUCAAAGGUUAAUUCAUCCAUUCAAGGCCACACAGCUAAUAGGGUAUCCUGUGGCAUACAGUUUUUAUUCAAGGCUGGCUUGUAUAUAUCAUAUUUAUACAGCGACAAGAACUUUUGAAAUACAAGUUAAGAACUUUAAGGAGAAAAAAACGUUCUUAUUGGAAGCAAAUGAAACAGAAAUUCCAAGUUAAAGCCAAAAGUCAUCCUGAACAUGCUUUUAUUCCAAUGGUAUUACUUAACAGCAAAGUGUUAUAUUACCCUUGAAUUUCCUGCCUAAGCUAAGGGUAGGCCAGGCCCUUGAUGCUGCUUAAAUUGUUCCAUGUAUCCCAACUAUAUCACAAGCAAUGCCAUCACACUUGACUUGUGCCUGAUCUCCAACUUGUCAGUUAGUCAAGAAGGAGGAAAGAAUCUGUUUCCCGUGCACACACUGUAAUUUUUUUUUCCAGUGUUGCUAAGCCUGCCAGAACAAAAGUAAAACCACAAAACAAGAUUUAGAUCAGUGUCUUGAUCACCCUGUUGCUAUUUUACAGUUUUAGGAGGGUUGGACAUCAAACACUUGAAACUGUCAUCUACAUAUUCCUUCUCAGAAUAAGGAAGCACUGGCAUGUACCCCUGCUAAAUUAUUCUCUACCCCCAAAUGUUGGAAACUUUCUCUCCAGGAAAAUGCUCUACAGAAGGCACGUUGAAUUAAUGGAGUUAGUUCUGAGAAAGGUUCUUACUGUCUAAGAUGAACUGUCAUAUGCUGACUUCCGGCCAGGUGGACUCGACGCCUUAGCAGGAAUGUUGCUUAGACAUUUAGCUUUUUCUAAUUUGUUUGCUAUUAUAAACAGUGCUUGAGAAACCUAAAGUACACCCCCACCUAAAAUUACUAUCACGUCGAUUUGUUUAUCUUCUUUAUAAUUGCUUAUCCCAACUGAAUGUUUCAUAGCUUGCAUGCUUGUUUAUGUUCUACUUUCUUUCUCGGGAUCAUGACUUGGGCAUGACACAAGUUACCUCUUCUAUCUUGUUUAUUACCACGUAGUAAGGACUCAGGAAAUAUUUUUGAAUGAAUGAGUAUAUCUUUCAUGCACAUGUAUUUUACUGUUGUACAAUUAUCUUCUUAAGAUAAAUCUUUUGAGUAGUCAAAUUCAUAGACACAGAAAGUAGGAUGGUGGUUGACAGGGGCUAGGGUGGUGGGGGGAGUGAGAAAUUAGUGUUUGAUUAUUUACUUUUAUUUUAUUACUAUUAUUACUUUUGAGAGAGGGUCUCACUGUUGUCCAAGCUGGAAUACAAUGGCGUGAUCAUGGUUUACUGCAACCUCAAACUCCUGGACUCAAGCAGUCCUCCUGCCUCAGCCUCCCAAGUAGCUGGAACUAUAGAUGCACAUCACCACACCCAGCUAAUUUUUUUUAAAUUAUUUUUUGUAGAGACAGGUCUCACUAUGUUGCCCAGGCUGGUCUCAAGGGAUCCCCUGCCUUUGCCUCCCAAAGUACUGGGAUCACAGGCAUGAACCACUGCACCUGGCUGAGAGUUAGUGUUUAAUAGGUGCAAAGCUUCAGUUGGGGAAGAUUAAAAAAAAGUUCUGGAGAUGGACGGUGGUGAUGAUUGCACAACGUGAAUCUACUUCAUGCCACUGGGCUGCACACUUACAAAUGGUUACAAUGUUAGUUGCCUCACAGCCUGAACAAGUAAAAUGGAAGCUGUAAUUAACCUUAAAAAUAUAUAUGUGUCUGAGAUAUAAUUGUAUAUAAGUAUAUGUAUACAGACAUGUAAACUAUUUGUUAAAAAAGAAACUAGAACAAAAAUAUUUUACAUUUACCUGG
rnacentral:lncRNA from 10 species